rnacentral:rRNA from 1 species
GAUGAACGCUGGCGGCGUGCCUAAUACAUGCAAGUCGAGCGAACGGACGAGAAGCUUGCUUCUCUGAUGUUAGCGGCGGACGGGUGAGUAACACGUGGAUAACCUACCUAUAAGACUGGGAUAACUUCGGGAAACCGGAGCUAAUACCGGAUAAUAUUUUGAACCGCAUGGUUCAAAAGUGAAAGACGGUCUUGCUGUCACUUAUAGCUGGCUCCGCGCUGCAUUAGCUAGUUGGUAAGGUAACGGCUUACCAAGGCAACGAUGCAUAGCCGACCUGAGAGGGUGAUCGGCCACACUGGAACUGAGACACGGUCCAGACUCCUACGGGAGGCAGCAGUAGGGAAUCUUCCGCAAUGGGCGAAAGCCUGACGGAGCAACGCCGCGUGAGUGAUGAAGGUCUUUGGAUCGUAAAACUCUGUUAUUAGGGAAGAACAUAUGUGUAAGUAACUGUGCACAUCUUGACGGUACCUAAUCAGAAAGCCACGGCUAACUACGUG